rnacentral:lncRNA from 1 species
AGACCAAUUAUUUGUUUUUUAGCACCGCUGUUUACCACGAAGUCAAUUUCCACCGCUAUUUUUAGUUUCAGCACAGUAGUUUCUCUCAUCUUCUCUAUAGUUAUCGCACCGCUAUUUACCCUUCCAUUGUUAUAUUGCUUCACUAUCUUAGUGGCUUCCAUCACCUAAACCUAAAUAACCACCUCUCAAGCAAAAGAUUUUAAUUGAGCCAAUUGCAUAAAGCCCCAACUUUUGUUCUUAAUCUUCCAUCAAUUAGGAUACUCUAUUUCCUAACCAUUGUAAUCAAGGUUUUAAAAAACGGUCGCGGUCGCUUCUCGGUUUCGUAAAGGUUUUCGCGAUUUCGGUCCGUACAGGUGUUAUGACGCUAAAUGCGGUCGUCGCGGUGUGAAUUAAUCACAUUUUGUUUUUUAAUAUAAAAAACGGUGAUAACGGUAACGGUAUCGGCACCUGCCAAAACUGUUUUGUCGCGUCCGUUUUCACGGUCGCGGACCUUUAUUUAAAACCUUGAU